AUAUGUUACUGCACAGAAUGUCCUUCCUCCUUCAGCCCUUCCUGUGCCCUGUUGCUGUGCGCAUUGCCCAGACAGUUCCCUGAUGGUCCCUUCUCUUCUGUCUUUACAGCAGCAGCAGCAACAGCAGCAGCAGCAGCAACAGCAGCAGCAGCAGCAGCAACAGCAACAGCAGCAGCAGCCGCAGCCGCCGCAGCCACAGCCGCAGCAGCAACCCCAGGUCUCCACAGUGCCUCAGCCACAGGCACAGGGCCAGCCCCCAGGGCUGGGGAUGCAGGCUCUUCCCCCCCAGCAGCCCAUUUUCCAGCGCCAGGGCCUUCAGCAGACACAGCAGCAGCAGCAAACAGCUGCUCUGGUUCGACAGCUUCAGCAACAGCUUUCUAGUAAGCCUUAAUGUUCUUGAUCCUGUCCCUAGUCUCCUCCCACCAUUUUCUGUUGCAGGUACCCUGGUGUAGAGAAGCAAGGCCAAACCAGACUGUCUGAGACCAUAAAUGGUGCUGGCAGGGAUUUGGCAUCAGGACUUGGAGCUCCUGGCCCAAGGGGGCACAGCAGCAGGGCAGGCAGAGUUUGCCAGCUUGUGAGCAACCUUCCAGACCUUCCUUCUGCUGCUUGCAGAGGGGCAAGGGAGCUUAGACUUUGUAGGGGCUGCCAUGCAGCUUUCCUGAAAGGAUGCAGUAUGAAGCUUUAAAGCAUUCAGAGGUAUUUCCUCUGCUGCAGAUGACCUCUGAGGUGCACAAGAAGGCUGUAACCCUGGGGCACUCACUUGGUGGAUGACCCAGAGAUACUGUGUUCUUGUGAUCAGGGCAAGACUUCUUGGAGGCAGGGAGGGUACUCUGGGAAGUGUUGCUGCACACUUGCUGUGUUUGCGGUGUUCUGUGGGCUUCUGUGGCUGCUGUCACAGACAGGGUAAUGGCAUAGGUGGUGUUUCAUCUGGCACUGUAUUCCUAUAAUCUGCACUGAACUACUGGCUGGGAGAUCUAGAAACAGAACCCAGUGUCUGUGCUGUUCCCUUCUGAAUGGCCUGCUGUUUUACUGUCACCUCACUGGCUUUUCUGCCAUAAAAAUGACAGAUAUGCUAUGAAAAUGCCCAGAAAUGGACUGCACAGGGUUUUUUUGCAGUGCAUUAAGUGUGAGACUGUGCUAGAUAUAAUAACGUGUGGAGUGGGGGCUUGGAAACUGUGCUUAUACUUGCUCCCUGAUGGAAAAUUCUUAGUCCUUGUGACCAAAAAACCCUCCCCAAACCAGGAGUUUUAAUGUGCUAAAUUUCCCACUAGCCUGAUUCACAAACCACAAGCCCGUGCAAGGAUCCCAGCCAGGACAUUCAAGCAUAGGAAGACCUCAUAUAAGAAUCUGAAUAUAGCAGAAAGACAUAUUUUUGUAUCUUGCCUGUACAGCAAAUGGAGCUGUUCUAUGUGGAACAGAUACAUGGGUCCAAUGCAGCCAUGUGUCAGCGUGCAGCUUCCAUGCUCCCUCAUUGGGUUUGCAUCAGUUCCACCAGGCACCAUCUGGAGUUCAUAUUUGUACUGUCUGGGAUGGAGUGGAAAGCAGGACAUAAACCAGGAACAACCUGUAGGAGGGGGACAAGAAUACUUUGGGCCCAGGAUAGGCUGCUUUAGGAGGCUCCAGGUUAUCCCUGAAUGUGCUGUUGUGCAGCGGAGUUGAGAAGGAGAGCAGGCUAGCCAGGUUACACUGGUCUCCUUUUACUUAGUCUGACUUAGGUUCAAACACGCUGAUGGGGUUUCAGGAAAAAAACUACAGAAUUCUAUUAAUCGGACAGUACCCAAGUGUACUCUGAGCACUGUAUAUCACAAAACAUCAGUCCCAGCAGUUUGGAAGUUCAUUAGGUUCUUGAAUAUAUCUUUACCAUGUUUCCUGUCCUUUUUGUGCCAUCUGGAAGUCCUUUGGGCAUGUCCUUCAUUUGUACUGAGAUAGUGACAGGGAGCCAGGGUAGUUUGAAACCUUCACUAACUCUGGUUUCUGGGUGUGCCUCAGGAUGAGUGUUUGACACUAGCUGUCUGAGCAGCUUGUGGGGCUGCAGGUGUUGUGCAAUCUUAUAGGGCUGAUUUUCUUUCAAAAUCGGAAAUAAUUCAUCCAUAAAGUCAUCCUCCCAGCUAGCUGCCACCUUUCAGGGCUUUGUUAUGGUGCACCAGUUCCACCACGAGUGAUGGAGAGACCUCCUCUGGAGAAGCUUCAGGAUCGGGACUGGCACAUACCUGUCUUCCUUAAAGAAUGUGGGGUCCUGACUGUGCUGCUGCCUAAAGGCUCAGACAAAUGACCAGAGCAGGGAGUGCCAUAAAGGUUAUAUUUUUCUUCUCACAGCCUGCGACACACUCCUCAUACUGUGCUGGUGAUGUGGGGAGAGGGAUCUCUUUUUCUGAACCACACCUUGUGACUGUCUAACUCUGUCUUGACCUCAACAGAUACACAGACACAGCAGAACAACAACCCGUUUGGACGCUACUGAUCUGUGGCACUUCAGCCUCAUCCAGGAGGGAGACAUCACUGUGGACUGGAUACAGCCUCUUCAGCCUGACCUACAAACUGGGGCUGCCCCCAACCUCUGUCCCUGGGCCUGUGCUCCCAGUGCUGCUGCUGCUGCCCGUCUCACAGGGAGAUGCCAGGAGGAUGGUUUUAUUGUACAGAGAAAGUGUUUUUAUUAUCCAAUUUCUACAAAUGUUUAUGGAGAUCCCUUGUGGCUGAUAGUCUCCCUUCCCACUUUGGUUUCAGUUUUUACUCAGUUUUUAGUAUUUUGUUAAAAUAAUGAUUAAGACAUUGUAAAAUUUUGUACUUUAUUUAUACCAGAUGAACCCCAUACUGCAGACAUUCUUGGAUGAAUACAGAGAGCUUACUUUGCAAAAGGAGUGUGUAUUCAGAGCCUGUCUUUCCUCCUCAGCACUCCUCCCAGUACAGCUCAGCAGCACCUAUAUACAUGGUCUUUAUCUCUUUCUCACUAGAGCUUUUGUGAACGGCUAAACAAUUUGGUUGGG
ensembl:lncRNA